UACGUAGGGUCCGAGCGUUGUCCGGAGUUACUGGGCGUAAAGCGCGCGCAGGUGGUCCAUUAAGCCCGGCGUGAAAGCCCCCGGCUCAACCGGGGAGGGUCGUCGGGGACUGGUGGACUUGAGGGCGGCAGGGGCUGGUGGAAUCCCCGGUGUAGUGGUGAAAUGCGUAGAGAUCGGGGGGAACACCCGUGGCGAAGGCGGCCAGCUGGGCCGACCCUGACACUGAGGCGCGGAAGGCGUGGGGAGCGAACAGG
rnacentral:rRNA from 1 species